GAGGGUGCGAGCGUUAAUCGGAAUUACUGGGCGUAAAGCGCGCGUAGGCGGCUUUGCAAGUCGGGUGUGAAAUCCCCAGGCUUAACCCGGGAACUGCAUUCGAGACUGCAUUGCUAGAGUAUGGGAGAGGGAAGUGGAAUUUCCGGUGUAGCGGUGAAAUGCGUAGAUAUCGGAAGGAACAUCAGUGGCGAAAGCGACUUCCUGGACCAAUACUGACGCUCAUGUGCGAAAGCGUGGGGAGCAAACAGGAUUAGAUACCCUGGUAGUCCACGCCAUAAACGAUGAGAACUGGAUGUCGGGAGGGUCUGCCUCUCGGUGUCGUAGCUAACGCGUUAAGUUCUCCGCCUGGGGAGUACGGCCGCAAGGUUG
rnacentral:rRNA from 1 species